UCCCUGUUUCCCCCUUUUAUUCCCUUUUCACCCAGUAAAACCCUGCUUUGCUCACUCUUUAAAGCAUCUGUGAGCGUAAAUUUUUGUGGCCAUGGGAUGGACAAGAACCACAUGUUUACCUGAAGUCCUGUGACAUUUUGGUGUGCAGCAUGGGAGCUCCAAAAGCUGGAGUGCAAUGGUACGAACUCAGCUCACCACAACCUCCGCCUCCCGGAUUCAAGCGAUUCUCCUGCCUCAGCCUCCCGAGUAGCUAGGAUUACAGAGUCUCAUUGUGUUGCUCAGGCUGGAAUCCAGUGGCAUGAUCUCGGCUCAGUGCAACCUCCGCCUCCUGGGUUCAAGCAGUUCUCCUAGAUCAGCAUCAGCGUCCCGAGUAGCUGGGAUUACAGGCACCCGCCACCAUGCCUGGCUAAUGUUGGUCAGGCUGGCUCGAACUCCUGACCUCAAGAGAUCCACCUGCUUUGGCCUCCCAAAGUGCUCGGAUUACAGGCAUGAGCUGCCACACCCAGCCUCCAAAUACUUUUUUUUUAAAUCAAAAUAAUGAUUUCAAUGACUGAGAUCUGUUAUGUAUUUCAACAUAAUCAUGUUUCAUAAAGAU
rnacentral:lncRNA from 1 species